AGAGUUUGAUCCUGGCUCAGGAUCAACGCUGGCGGCGUGCCUAAUGCAUGCAAGUCGCACGGGCAGCCUUCGGGCUGUCAGUGGCGAACGGCUGAGGAACACGUGCGUAUCUGCCGGUUCGUGGGGAAUAACGCGGAGAAAUCCGCGCUAAUACCGCGUACGCUCACCUUCAUUGGUGAGGAAAGCCUUCGGGCGCGGACUGAGGAGCGCGCGGCCCAUCAGGUUGAUGGCGGGGUAAUGGCCCACCAUGCCGGUGACGGGUCGCUGGUCUGAGAGGAUGACCAGCCAGACUGGGACUGCGACACGGCCCAGACACCUACGGGUGGCAGCAGCAAGGAAUCUUCCGCAAUGGGCGCAAGCCUGACGGAGCAACGCCGCGUGGAGGACGACGGCCUUCGGGUUGUAAACUCCUUUUCUGGGGGAUGACAUGGACAGUACCCCAGGAAUCAGCCCCGGCUAACUCUGUGCCAGCAGCCGCGGUAAGACAGAGGGGGCAAGCGUUGUCCGGAUUAACUGGGCGUACAGCGCGCGCAGGUGGGUCGGUUAGUCACCUGUGACGUUGUUCGGCUCAACCGAACAGGGUCAGGUGAGACUGCCAGCCUGGAGGGAUGGAGAGGGACGUGGAAUACCCGGUGGAGCGGUGAAAUGCGUAGAGAUCGGGUGGAACACCGCGGUGAAGACGGCGUCCUGGCCAUUACCUGACACUGAGGCGCGACAGCGUGGGGAGCAAACGGGAUUAGAUACCCUAGUAGUCC
rnacentral:rRNA from 1 species